GGCUACUGAAGAAAAAUGGCGGCGCAACAUGGUUCAUGGAUACGUCGUAAAAGUAUUUUAAUGUCAUGGGCGGACUCCGUGGAAGAGGACCCGCUCCCAUAAACUGAAUGCCCGCUCCCCGUGCAGAUAGAAAUGGCUCAGUCCAAGCCAACGAAAACAGCGAUUAAUACUUGCAGGUUUUUGGCUUCCAGAAUCACCACUGUCAGCUUCCCCGCAGUGGGCACAUACCUCAAGGACAAACAUAUGUCUCCGAGCCGCUCGCUCUGACACAGAGAAAAAAGAGCGUGCUCCUACCUCCUCCUUCUCUGCCUUCUGCAAGUCCCUCCACUCCUGCAGGGACUGGCUGAAGUCCACACUGCUCAUCGG